GUUGUAUGUAUCUGAUCACUACUGUAGUAGGGUUGGAAGGUUAGACAGGUUGUAUGUAUCUGAUCACUACUGUAGUAGGGUUGGAAGGUUAGACAGGUUGUAUGUAUCUGAUCACUACUGUAAUAGGGUUGGAAGGUUAGACAGGUUGUAUGUAUCUGAUCACUACUGUAGUAGGGUUGGAAGGUUAGACAGGUGGUAUGUAUCUGAUCUCUACUGUAGUAGGGUUGGAAGGUUAGACAGGUUGUAUGUAUCUGAUCACUACUGUAGUAGGGUUGGAAGGUUAGACAGGUUGUAUGUAUCUGAUCACUACUGUAAUAGGGUUGGAAGGUUAGAC
rnacentral:lncRNA from 1 species